UACAGAGGGUGCGAGCGUUGUUCGGAAUUAUUGGGCGUAAAGCGCAUGUAGGCGGGUUGUUAAGUCGCGUGUGAAAGCCCCAGGCUCAACCUGGGAAGUGCGCGCGAAACUGGCGACCUUGAGUGCUGGAGAGGGUGGCGGAAUUCCCGGUGUAGAGGUGAAAUUCGUAGAUAUCAUUUGGAACGCCAAUGGUGAAAACAGCUCGCUGGGGGUGUACUGACACUGAGACACGAAAGCCAGGGGAGCGAACGGG
rnacentral:rRNA from 1 species